GCGCGUGCUACCAUGCAGUCGACGGAAAGGCCCUUCGGGGUACUCGAGUGGCGAACGGGUGAGUAACACGUGGGUGAUCUGCCUCGUACUCUGGGAUAAGCCUGGGAAACUGGGUCUAAUACCGGAUAGGACCUCUGGUCGCAUGGCUGGUGGUGGAAAGUUUUUCGGUACGAGAUGGGCCCGCGGCCUAUCAGCUUGUUGGUGGGGUAAUGGCCUACCAAGGCGACGACGGGUAGCCGGCCUGAGAGGGCGACCGGCCACACUGGGACUGAGACACGGCCCAGACUCCUACGGGAGGCAGCAGUGGGGAAUAUUGCACAAUGGGCGCAAGCCUGAUGCAGCGACGCCGCGUGAGGGAUGACGGCCUUCGGGUUGUAAACCUCUUUCACCAGGGGCGAAUGUGACGGUACCUGGAGAAGAAGCACCGGCCAACUACGUGCCAGCAGCCGCGGUAAUACGUAGGGUGCGAGCGUUGUCCGGAAUUACUGGGCGUAAAGAGCUCGUAGGCGGUUUGUCGCGUCGUUCGUGAAAACCCGAUGCUUAACAUCGGGCGUGCGGGCGAUACGGGCAGACUUGAGUACUACAGGGGAGACUGGAAUUCCUGGUGUAGCGGUGAAAUGCGAAGAUAUCAGGAGGAACACCGGUGGCGAAGGCGGGUCUCUGGGUAGUAACUGACGCUGAGGAGCGAAAGCGUGGGUAGCGAACAGGAUUAGAUACCCUGGUAGUCCACGCCGUAAACGGUGGGUACUAGGUGUGGGUUCCUUUCACGGGAUCCGUGCCGUAGCUAACGCAUUAAGUACCCCGCCUGGGGAGUACGGCCGCAAGGCUAAAACUCAAAGGAAUUGACGGGGGCCCGCACAAGCGGCGGAGCAUGUGGAUUAAUUCGAUGCAACGCGAAGAACCUUACCUGGGUUUGACUUACCCCAGACGCUGGUAAAAAUAUCAGUUCCCUUGUGGUUGGGGUACAGGUGGUGCAUGGCUGCCCUCACCUCCUGUCGUGAAAUGUUGGGUUAAGUCCCGCACCAACCCCACCCUUGUCCUGUAUUGCAACGGGUUAUGCCGGGACUUGCAGAAAAUGCCGGGUCCACUCGAAG
rnacentral:rRNA from 1 species